rnacentral:rRNA from 1 species
UACGUAGGGUGCGAGCGUUAAUCGGAAUUACUGGGCGUAAAGCGUGCGCAGGCGGCUUUGCAAGACAGAUGUGAAAUCCCCGGGCUCAACCUGGGAACUGCAUUUGUGACUGCAAGGCUAGAGUACGGCAGAGGGGGAUGGAAUUCCGCGUGUAGCAGUGAAAUGCGUAGAUAUGCGGAGGAACACCAAUGGCGAAGGCAAUCCCCUGGGCCUGUACUGACGCUGAUGCACGAAAGCGUGGGGAGCAAACAGG